rnacentral:rRNA from 1 species
GACGAACGCUGGCGGCGUGCUUAACACAUGCAAGUCGAACGGAAAGGCCCUGCUUUUGUGGGGUGCUCGAGUGGCGAACGGGUGAGUAACACGUGAGUAACCUGCCCUUGACUUUGGGAUAACUUCAGGAAACUGGGGCUAAUACCGGAUAGGAGCUCCUGCUGCAUGGUGGGGGUUGGAAAGUUUCGGCGGUUGGGGAUGGACUCGCGGCUUAUCAGCUUGUUGGUGGGGUAGUGGCUUACCAAGGCUUUGACGGGUAGCCGGCCUGAGAGGGUGACCGGCCACAUUGGGACUGAGAUACGGCCCAGACUCCUACGGGAGGCAGCAGUGGGGAAUGUUGCACUGUGGGCGGAAGCCUGAUGCAGCAACGCCGCGUGCGGGAUGACGGCCUUCGGUUUGUAAACCGCUUUCGCCUGUGACGAAGCGUGAGUGACGGUAAUGGGUAAAGAAGCACCGGCUAACUACGUG